rnacentral:rRNA from 1 species
GUGGGGAAUUUUGGACCAUGGGCGCAAGCCUGAUCCAGCAAUGCCGCGUGUGUGAAUAAGGCCUUCGGGUUGUAAAGCACUUUUGGCAGGGAAGAAACAGUGCGUGCUCAUACCAUGCGCGAAUGACGGUACCUGAAGAAUAAGCACCGGCUAACUACGUGCCAGCAGCCGCGGUAAUACGUAGGGUGCAAGCGUUAAUCGGAAUUACUGGGCGUAAAGCGUGCGCAGGCGGCUUUGUCAGCAGGAUGUGAAAGCCCCGGGCGCAACCUGGGAAGUGCUUGCGGGACGGCAAGGCUAGGGUGUGUCAGAGGGAGGUGGAAUUGCGCGUGUAGCAGUGAAAUGCGUAGAGAUGCGGAGGAACACCGAUGGCGAAGGCAGCCUGCUUGGAUAACACUGACGCUCAGGCACGAAAGCGUGGGGAGCAAACAGGAUUAGAAACCCGAGUAGUCC